rnacentral:rRNA from 1 species
UUGUAGUAUAUGCUUGUCUCAAAGAUUAAGCCAUGCAAGUCUAAGUUUAAGCACCUAAACGGCGAAACUGCGAAUGGCUCAUUAAAUCAGUUAUCGUAUAUUUGAUAGUACCUACUACAUGGAUAACCGUGGUAAUUCUAGAGCUAAUACAUGCUUAAAAUCCCGACUUCGGAAGGGAUGUAUUUAUUAGAUUAAAAACCAAUGCCCUUCGGGGCUCACUGGUGAUUCAUAAUAACUUCUCGAAUCGCAUGGCCUUGUGCCGGCGAUGGUUCAUUCAAAUUUCUGCCCUAUCAACUUUCGACGGCUGGGUCUUGGCCAGCCGUGGUUACAACGGGUAACGGAGGGUUAGGGCUUGACCCCGGAGAAGGAGCCUGAGAAACGGCUACUACAUCCAAGGAAGGCAGCAGGCGCGCAAAUUACCCAAUCCCGACACGGGGAGUAGUGACAAUAAAUACUGAUACAGGGCUCUUUUGGGUCUUGUAAUUGGAAUGAGUACAAUUUAAAUCCCUUAANGAGGAACAAUAGGAGGNNNNNNNNNNNNNNNNNNNNNGCGGUAAUUCAGCUCCAUAGCGUAUAUUAAAGUUGUUGCAGUUAAAAAGCUCGUAGUUGAACCUUGGGCCUGGCUGGCCGGUCUGCCUCACCGCAUGCACUGGUCCGGCCGGGCCUUUCCCUCUGGGGAUCCGCAUGCCCUUCACUGGGUGUGUCGGGGAACCAGGACUUUUACUGUGAAAAAAUUAGAGUGUUCAAAGCAGGCCUAUGCUCGAAUACAUUAGCAUGGAAUAAUAGAAUAGGACGUUGCGGUUCUAUUUUGUUGGUUUCUAGGACCGCCGUAAUGAUUAAUAGGGACAGUCGGGGGCGUCAGUAUUCAAUCGUCAGAGGUGAAAUUCUUGGAUCGAUUGAAGACUAACUACUGCGAAAGCAUUCGCCAAGGAUGUUUUCAUUAAUCAGGAACGAAAGUUAGGGGAUCGAAAACGAUCAGAUACCGUUGUAGUCUUAACCAUAAACUAUGCCGACUAGGGAUCGGGCGAUGUUAUUUCUUGACUCGCUCGGCACCUUACACGAAAGUAAAGUUUUUGGGUUCU